CCUACGGGAGGCAGCAGUGGUGAAUAUUGGACAAUGGGGGGAACCCUGAUCCAGCCAUGCCGCGUGUGUGAAGAAGGCCCUCGGGUUGUAAAGCACUUUCAGUGAGGAAGAACGCCUGGUGGUUAAUACCCAUCAGGAAAGACAUCACUCACAGAAGAAGCACCGGCUAACUCCGUGCCAGCAGCCGCGGUAAUACGGAGGGUGCGAGCGUUAAUCGGAAUUACUGGGCGUAAAGCGCGCGUAGGUGGCUUGAUAAGCCGGUUGUGAAAGCCCCGGGCUCAACCUGGGAACGGCAUCCGGAACUGUCAAGCUAGAGUGCAGGAGAGGAAGGUAGAAUUCCCGGUGUAGCGGUGAAAUGCGUAGAGAUCGGGAGGAAUACCAGUGGCGAAGGCGGCCUUCUGGACUGACACUGACACUGAGGUGCGAAAGCGUGGGUAGCAAACAGGAUUAGAUACCCCAGUAGUC
rnacentral:rRNA from 1 species